UGGGGAAUCUUGCGCAAUGGGCGAAAGCCUGACGCAGCGACGCCGCGUGGGGGAGGAAGCUCUUCGGAGUGUAAACCCCUGUCAGGAGGGAAGAAUGGGCACCCGAGGAAAUGCGGGUGUUUUGACGGUACCUCCAAAGGAAGCACCGGCUAACUCUGUGCCAGCAGCCGCGGUAAUACAGAGGGUGCGAGCGUUGUUCGGAAUUACUGGGCGUAAAGCGCGCGCAGGCGGUCCUUUAAGUCUACCCGUGAAAUGCCGGACUCAACUCCGUGCACGCCGGGGGGUAUACUGGAGGACUGGGAGACGAGUAGAGGCAAGCGGAAUUCCGGGUGUAGCGGUGGAAUGCGUAGAUAUCCGGAAGAACACCGGAGGCGAAGGGCGGCUUGCUGGGCUUGGUCUGACGCUGAGGCGCGAAAGCGUGGGGAGCGAACAGGGAUUAGAUA
rnacentral:rRNA from 1 species